rnacentral:tRNA from 1 species
GCCGCCAUCUCAAUGGCUAGAACGAGUGCCUCCUAAGCGUUAGAUACAGGUUCGAUUCCUGUUGGUGGUACCA